rnacentral:rRNA from 1 species
GCUCGCGACUGAUCUUAGCGGCGGACGGGUGAGUAAUGCUUAGGAAUCUGCCUAUUAGUGGGGGACAACAUUUCGAAAGGAAUGCUAAUACCGCAUACGUCCUACGGGAGAAAGCAGGGGAUCUUCGGACCUUGCGCUAAUAGAUGAGCCUAAGUCGGAUUAGCUAGUUGGUGGGGUAAAGGCCUACCAAGGCGACGAUCUGUAGCGGGUCUGAGAGGAUGAUCCGCCACACUGGGACUGAGACACGGCCCAGACUCCUACGGGAGGCAGCAGUGGGGAAUAUUGGACAAUGGGCGCAAGCCUGAUCCAGCCAUGCCGCGUGUGUGAAGAAGGCCUUAUGGUUGUAAAGCACUUUAAGCGAGGAGGAGGCUACUUUAGUUAAUACCUAGAGAUAGUGGACGUUACUCGCAGAAUAAGCACCGGCUAACUCUGUGCCAGCAGCCGCGGUAAUACAGAGGGUGCAAGCGUUAAUCGGAUUUACUGGGCGUAAAGCGCGCGUAGGCGGCUAAUUAAGUCAAAUGUGAAAUCCCCGAGCUUAACUUGGGAAUUGCAUUCGAUACUGGUUAGCUAGAGUGUGGGAGAGGAUGGUAGAAUUCCAGGUGUAGCGGUGAAAUGCGUAGAGAUCUGGAGGAAUACCGAUGGCGAAGGCAGCCAUCUGGCCUAACACUGACGCUGAGGUGCGAAAGCAUGGGGAGCAAACAGGAUUAGAUACCCUGGUAGUCCAUGCCGUAAACGAUGUCUACUAGCCGUUGGGGCCUUUGAGGCUUUAGUGGCGCAGCUAACGCGAUAAGUAGACCGCCUGGGGAGUACGGUCGCAAGACUAAAACUCAAAUGAAUUGACGGGGGCCCGCACAAGCGGUGGAGCAUGUGGUUUAAUUCGAUGCAACGCGAAGAACCUUACCUGGCCUUGACAUAGUAAGAACUUUCCAGAGAUGGAUUGGUGCCUUUCGGGAACUUACAUACAGUGCUGCAUGGCUGUCGUCAGCUCGUGUCGUGAGAUGUUGGGUUAAGUCCCGCACCGAGCGCAACCUUUUCCUUAUUUGCUAUCUAGUAUGUCGGGACUUUA